rnacentral:lncRNA from 1 species
ACCGUCGUCCACAAGGAUAUAACUCAGUGGGGAAAUGGCAGAAAAGGUAAACACUUUCUGCUUAAGGGGUUGACUCUACAUUGAGGGAUCAGACACCGACAUCUGCUUGGGGAAAUACAUACCACCAGAUAGCAGGAGACAACAAACAAUAGAUAUAUGGCAAAAAAUGCAACAUGAAUAUCUGAAUGUUAUAAGUAUGC